rnacentral:rRNA from 1 species
UGCAAGGAACUGGGAGUAACACCUGGAAACGAGACGCGUAAUACCGGAUAGGUAACAGAGGGGCAUCCCACUGUUAUUAAGGUUAAAGACACAAGCAGAUGGGCUUACGGUGCAUUAGCUAGUUGGUGAGGUAACGGCCCACCAAGGCGAUGAUGCAUAGCCGGCCUGAGAGGGUGAACGGCCACAUUGGGACUGAGACACGGCCCAGACUCCUACGGGAGGCAGCAGUAGGGAAUUUUCGGCAAUGGGCGCAAGCCUGACCGAGCAACGCCGCGUGAAGUGAAGAAGAAUUUCGGUUCGUAAAGCUCUGUUGUAAGGGAAGAAUAACACGGAGAGAAUCCGUGCAUGACGGUACCUUACCAGAAAGCCACGGCUAACUACGUGCCAGCAGCGGC